rnacentral:lncRNA from 1 species
AAAUUAUAAUUGGUUCAACGCUGACAACAACAAUAACAACCCAGUAUAAUUCUAUUAAGUAGGGGUCUGGGGAGGGUAGUUAUAUGUAUGCAGACCUUACCCCUACCCUGGGUAGAGAGGCUGUUUCCAAAUAGAACCCCGACAUCAUUCCCUCCAAGAACUUCCCACCUUGAUCUUGGGGAGUUUCGAACUCACAAACUCUUCGAUGAAAGUGAAGGUUGCUUACCAUCAUAAUAGAUUCAAUGCUAAAAACCAUAAAAGACAAACCCAUAAAUUUUAAUUCUGGACCUGCGUCUGCGUAUAUAUAUCAGUGUCCGAAUCAUUAAUGUCCUCAAUGGUGUACUCCUUUUAGAAAUUAACAUGUAGAAAUACACAAUUAUUAAGAUGAAAUAAUAAAGCAAAAUAAAUCCAAAAGAAGAACUCAUCUUUAUGAAAAUGAGAAGGUUGUAGUACUUUUGAAGCUUUUUCAACAGCUAUUCUCUAUUCUUAAUCUGCAACUAGAAUUGGCUCUUCUUCUUUCUUCAACCAAAGCAGUACGAGCUGACAUUAUAUUACUAUUCAUUAAUGAAGCAUCAAAAGCACUACAAUCAAUCCAAUCUUUCAGUAAUUCCUCUUGACCCCAUAUAUCUGGAAUCCAUACAUGACCAGCUACUUCAAUUAAUGCAGCAUCAAAAGCACUACAAUCAAUCCAAUCUUUGAGUAAUUCUUCUUGACCCCAUAUAUCUGGAAUCCAUACAUGACCAGCUACUUCAACCCGAUGUCUUUUCAAUCUCUCACGUCCAUUAU